rnacentral:rRNA from 1 species
AUUGAACGCUGGCGGCAGGCCUAACACAUGCAAGUCGAGCGGAUGAAGGGAGCUUGCUCCUGGAUUCAGCGGCGGACGGGUGAGUAAUGCCUAGGAAUCUGCCUGGUAGUGGGGGAUAACGUCCGGAAACGGGCGCUAAUACCGCAUACGUCCUGAGGGAGAAAGUGGGGGAUCUUCGGACCUCACGCUAUCAGAUGAGCCUAGGUCGGAUUAGCUAGUUGGUGGGGUAAAGGCCUACCAAGGCGACGAUCCGUAACUGGUCUGAGAGGAUGAUCAGUCACACUGGAACUGAGACACGGUCCAGACUCCUACGGGAGGCAGCAGUGGGGAAUAUUGGACAAUGGGCGAAAGCCUGAUCCAGCCAUGCCGCGUGUGUGAAGAGGGUCCUCGGAUUGUAAAGCACUUUAAGUUGGGAGGAAGGGCAGUAAGUUAAUACCUUGCUGUUUUGACGUUACCAACAGAAUAAGCACCGGCUAACUUCGUG